rnacentral:rRNA from 1 species
UACAGAGGGUGCAAGCGUUGUUCGGAAUUACUGGGCGUAAAGGGCGUGUAGGCGGUUUAGCAAGUCAGAUGUGAAAUCCCAGGGCUUAACUCUGGAAGUGCAUUUGAAACUGCUAGGCUAGAGUAUAGUAGAGGUUGGCGGAAUACCCAAUGGAGAGGUGAAAUUCGUAGAUAUUGGGUGGAACACCGGUGGCGAAGGCGGCCAACUGGGCUAUAACUGACGCUGAGGCGCGAGAGCGUGGGGAGCAAACAGG